GCGCACGUUUCUCCUCCCUGAGCGUGUUGUCUUAACCCCCUGUUAAGAUAUUUUGCCCUUGAUGCAGCAGCACGCUCAAGGGCAUUUUUUU
rnacentral:ncRNA from 1 species